GCAGCACCCACCGGCGUGAUGUCUGUCUUUACGUACCAACAACCCUGCAGAGCAGCCGCAGAUCUCUAGUGCUUCGCGCAGAAUUGGGCCAGUGCUUGAAGUCGGCAAUGAGAGAGGACAGUUCGGGGUAUAAAGAAAUUAUUUCUUUGGGGUCAAGAUUGCCUUUGCUGUAAAGAGAACAAAACAAUAACUGGCAUCAAGUUGUUCUUCAACUGGAACUGGAGUCAAGCUGUAGACUGUGUUUUCAG